AGCUCAGUUGGUAGAGCGCAACCUUGCCAAGGUUGAGGUCGCCAGUUCGAACCUGGUCG
rnacentral:tRNA from 1 species